AAUGAUUUAAACUAGUGCAAAGAUAGAAGAUGAUGCAAGAAUAAAUGGAAACACAAGCACAACACAAACACAACAAUAUAUAGUGGUUCGGUGCUCUCCUUAGCACCUACGUCCACUCUCCAAGCGUCCCCUUGGGAAUUCACUAUAAUCUCGCGGAUUACAGUUGGAUUGUUUUUCGGGCUCACAAUCCAAAAAUCUUGUUGGUUUUACGGGCUCACCAACGAACCUAUACACUUUGGUUUUCCGGGUUCACCAAAAACCUUUGUUGGUUUUACGGGCUCACCAACGAACCUAUACACUUUG
rnacentral:lncRNA from 1 species